GAUGAACGCUGGCGGCGUGCCUAAUACAUGCAAGUCGAGCGAAUGGAUUAAGAGCUUGCUCUUAUGAAGUUAGCGGCGGACGGGUGAGUAACACGUGGGUAACCUGCCCAUAAGACUGGGAUAACUCCGGGAAACCGGGGCUAAUACCGGAUAACAUUUUGAACCGCAUGGUUCGAAAUUGAAAGGCGGCUUCGGCUGUCACUUAUGGAUGGACCCGCGUCGCAUUAGCUAGUUGGUGAGGUAACGGCUCACCAAGGCAACGAUGCGUAGCCGCACAGAGAGGGUGAUCGGCCACACUGGGACUGAGACACGGACCUGACUGCUACGGGAGGCAGCAGUAGGGAAUCUUCCGCAAUUGACGAAGGUCUAACGGAGCAACUCCGCGUGAGUGAUGAAGGCUUUCGGGACGUAAAACUCUGUUGUUAGGGAAGAACAAGUGCCAGUUGAAUAAGCUGGCGCCUUGACGGUACCUAACCAGAAAGCCACGGCUAACUGCGUGCCAGCCGCCGCCGUAA
rnacentral:rRNA from 1 species